UACAGAGGGGGCAAGCGUUAUUCGGAAUUAUUGGGCGUAAAGGGCGCGUAGGCGGUUUUUUAAGUCGGAUGUGCAAUCCCCAGGCUCAACCUGGGAACUGCAUCCGAGACUGGAAGGCUAGAGUGCGGCAGAGGGGGGUAGAAUUCCACGUGUAGCAGUGAAAUGCGUAGAUAUGUGGAGGAAUACCGAUGGCGAAGGCAGCCCCCUGGGUCGACACUGACGCUCAUGCACGAAAGCGUGGGGAGCAAACAGG
rnacentral:rRNA from 1 species